rnacentral:rRNA from 1 species
AGCGAACGCUGGCGGCAGGCUUAACACAUGCAAGUCGAGCGGGCGUAGCAAUACGUCAGCGGCAGACGGGAGAGUAACACGUGGGAACGCGCCCUUCGGUUCGGAAUAACUCAGGGAAACUUGAGCUAAUACCGGAUACGCCCUAACGGGGAAAGAUUUAUCGCCGAAGGAACGGCCCGCGUCGGAUUAGCCAGUUGGUGAGGUAAUGGCUCACCAAGGCGACGAUCCGUAGCUGGUCUGAGAGGAUGGCCAGCCUCACUGGGACUGAGACACGGCCCAGACUCCUACGGGAGGCAGCAGUGGGGAAUAUUGGACAAUGGGCGCAAGCCUGAUCCAGCCAUGCCGCGUGGAUGAUGAAGGCCUUAGGGUUGUAAAGUCCUUUUAACGGGGAAGAUAAUGACGGUACCCGUAGAAUAAGCCCCGGCUAACUUCGUGCCAGCCGCCGCGGUAA